UUUGGCACCUCUAAAAAUGGUGCAAAAUAAGGGGUGGGCAAGUCUGGUGUCAGCCGCCGCGGUAAUACCAGCACCCCGAGUGGUCGGGACGAUUAUUGGGCCUAAAGCAUCCGUAGCCGGUUCUGCAAGUCCUCCGUUAAAUCCACCUGCUCAACGGAUGGGCUGCGGAGGAUACCGCAGAGCUAGGAGGCGGGAGAGGCAAACGGUACUCAGUGGGUAGGGGUAAAAUCCUUUGAUCUACUGAAGACCACCAGUGGCGAAGGCGGUUUGCCAGAACGCGCUCGACGGUGAGGGAUGAAAGCUGGGGGAGCAAACCGGAUUAGAUACCCGGGUAGUCCCAGCUGUAAACGAUGCAGACUCGGUGAUGGGUUGGCUUCGAGCCAACCCAGUGCCGCAGGGAAGCCGUUAAGUCUGCCGCCUGGGGAGUACGGUCGCAAGACUGAAACUUAAAGGAAUUGGC
rnacentral:rRNA from 1 species